UGACCCCACUUUGAUGGCGGCGAGCUUUGCUUUGAUGUUAUGUGGGGCAUUCAGUAUCAGCGCCGGAACCGACGCCAACAGCCAGAGCAGGCGCCGUGAUGUUGGAUCAAGUUGUUAGGAUUAGUUUCAGUGAUUAAGUUUGUUAGGAAGAUUAAGUUGUUAGUUCCUGGUUAGUAGCUGUUUGGUUUUCCAUUGUAAGCCUAUAUAGGCCAUUCGGUUUAAGUGAUUAAUCAAGAAAGAAGUUAAUCCCA